rnacentral:lncRNA from 1 species
AUGUAUCAGUUCUGGGCGUAUAUACCCAUUUGCCAUUUUGCAUGCUUGUCUCUGCAGAGGUCUGGGCCUAAUGAAUGCCGAGGGAAAUGUUCUAAAUGCUGCUUUUCAGGUAUCACUUCUUUAGAGAAGACAACCAAUUUUGCUGUUUACUUUGUUGCCAUGUCUCAGAACUUCCUUCUCCUCCUGACUGUGAUCCUUACUGUGACCUGCAAAUUGAGGAAGCAGACUUUAGCAACAAAGAUGGAAACACCUCAGAGGAAUAUGUCUGAAGCCUAAUGAGCAGGAAUAUCUUUCAAAUUCACCAAGAAAAGCGGGAUCCUUUCUUCUGAAAAAUGGAUGAACAAAAACCUAAUCUCUCCCCUUUUAUAUAGCAAUAAUUCUGCAGUGUCUGAUUAAGAAGUUUUUUGUUUCUUUCUAGUUCACUAAGUGUCUACUUUCUGUUUUUAAGAGGUUAACGUGACAGCAGUAAAAUCAACUGCCUCUUUAUAUGUAUCUUGGUCUGACCAAAUAAAAGAUGUUAGGAAUGGUCUCA